rnacentral:rRNA from 1 species
UACGAAGGGGGCUAGCGUUGUUCGGAAUCACUGGGCGUAAAGCGCACGUAGGCGGAUCUUUAAGUCAGGGGUGAAAUCCCGAGGCUCAACCUCGGAACUGCCUUUGAUACUGGGGAUCUCGAGUCCGGGAGAGGUGAGUGGAACUGCGAGUGUAGAGGUGAAAUCCGUAGAUAUUCGCAAGAACACCAGUGGCGAAGGCGGCUCACUGGCCCGGAACUGACGCUGAGGUGCGAAAGCGUGGGGAGCAAACAGG